rnacentral:rRNA from 1 species
UACGUAGGGUGCGAGCGUUGUCCGGAAUUAUUGGGCGGAAAGAGCUCGUAGGCGGCCUGUCGCGUCGGAUGUGAAAGCCCGGGGCUUAACCCCGGGUCUGCAUUCGAUACGGGCAGGCUAGAGUGUGGUAGGGGAGAUCGGAAUUCCUGGUGUAGCGGUGAAAUGCGCAGAUAUCAGGAGGAACACCGGUGGCGAAGGCGGAUCUCUGGGCCAUUACUGACGCUGAGGAGCGAAAGCGUGGGGAGCGAACAGG